GGGCGGGCGGGCGGGCGGCAGCCGGAGCGCAGACAAUCGCGGGAGGAGGAGGACGGCGACGACGACGGCAUGGGGAGGGCCAGCAGUCCGCGCAGCCAGCAGCCGGCUUUGUUUCCGGAUUGGUCUUUUUAGUGUAUCCUUCACUUUCUGCAGAUACUUCACCGUUGCCUGUGGUCUCUAUACAUAAUAUGUGAUUUGCUCAGAUUGAUAAGUGAAUAUUUUUGUUAUGGAGGUCAACUUCAAGUGUCCUGUCCAGGUUUUGUGAACACGGCUGGUCAGAACACCAUGAAUAGACAAGACAAAACUGCUCCCAAAAGUGUUACCAGUGAAGGAAUGUGGUGGCAGCUGAAGCUGAGGACCAGCAGUGGAGAUGCAGAACUGCUUCAGAAAGCUUUUUGUAACAUGCUGAAUGAACAGAAUGUCUUCUGAAAAGAAAGAUUUCUCUUACCGCUGAACAGAAGAGUAAAGAUCUGUUUUCACAGAUCUCUUGAAUACAAAGAAGCAGCAAUAUUUGGCCAGAAGAUAGAUUAAGGUUUUUGAAACUCUGUUAAACAUGAAAUGUACACACUUACUAUUCUUUCUGUCAUGAAUUGAUACAGCUAUAAUAUUUAAUGUUUUUAUUAAGAGUGCUGUGUGACAUCACUCACUUCCCAAUUUCUGACACUUUUUUCUCUUACCCAUCAGUAUUUUGUUCAACUCUGGUUUUAGGCAGCACAGUGAGAAAGAGAAGAAAAAUCCAGAUUUGCAAACAUAAUAAAGAUUUCAUUCAAUUUUUUGUUUUAUUUUAUUUUAGAAUUAAUUCAAGAGGUAAGGUCUAAUUUAUUACCCCAAAGAAACAAGAAAUUCUGGGAGCUGUUAUAAUCUGGUUUGCAGAGUUCUCAAAGAAUGUUCCCUAGUAUAUCCCUGGGACUGGAGAGAGGGAAAGUGCUAGUGCACCAAGGGGCUUCCACUGCAAUUCAACUAGCAAUGAGAGCAUUACUUGUGCAAUAUGCAGCCUAUUAAAAUACUUAGCCAUGAGAAAGAGCUUAUUUCGCUGCAGAAAUACACAGACAUUUAAAAAAAGAUUCUGGACGACAGCUUCAAGGAGCUGCAAGCUUUCUUUUUUUUGGUGGGGGGAGGGGGACAAAGACAAUAUUACAAACCACUCUAUAGCUUGCAAAGAACUAUUUUUCUACACUUUUGUAACCUUUUAUUUCACAGCUUGCCAGAUUGCCCACCCUUUAAAUCAGAAUAUCUUGAUGCCUGGAAAAGUCCAAGAGUGCCUCUUACUAAUGACGUUCUUCUUGCUGAAAAUAAUGUACAGAACUCAAUGCGAAGUUUUUUUUAAAUCUGCUUUUUUUUCCUCUUUGAAGAUCUGUCCCUUAAAAUAGAGUUUACUGAAUAAUGCAAAGUAUUCUAGGAAUUAGGUAUGCAGGGUUAAAUCAAACAUCAAAGAAUUGCACCACUAGCUUGUUCUUAUCAUUUCUGAUUUGUAAUCUGUAGAAUGUGUCCCUGCACAAGAGAAAAGCAAUUUAUCUGAAUCUCCAAAUGGUACAAUCAUUUAACCUGUGUGAGUUAUUUUGAUUGGAAAUAUCUUCUCAUUUGGCUCUCCCAAUAUAACCAUUAUUUUACAAAUUGAGUGAUAAGAUGUCGUUAAAUAUUAGUGUUUCAAAUAAUUUUUAAAUGUAUCUACAGGGUCUGUAAUACACAGUAGGUUCUGUAAUUACAAAUAAAGCCCUAUAUGCAA